rnacentral:rRNA from 1 species
UACGUAGGGAGCAAGCGUUGUCCGGAAUCAUUGGGCGUAAAGCGCGCGUAGGCGGAUUUGCCAGUCAGGGGUGAAAUCCCGGGGCUCAACCUCGGAACUGCCUUUGAUACAGCAAGUCUUGAGUUCGAGAGAGGUGGGUGGAAUUCCUAGUGUAGAGGUGAAAUGCGUAGAUAUCAGGAGGAACACCGGUGGCGAAGGCGGGUCUCUGGGCCGAUACUGACGCUGAGGAGCGAAAGCGUGGGGAGCGAACAGG